rnacentral:rRNA from 1 species
AAAGACUUUCAACAACGGAUCUCUUGGCUCUGGCAUCGAUAAAGAACGCAGCGAAAUGCGAUAAGUAAUGUGAAUUGCAGAAUUUAGUGAAUCAUCAAAUCUUUAGAACGCACAUUGCGCCCUUUGGUAUUCCGAGGGGCAUGCCUGUUCGAGCGUC